rnacentral:piRNA from 1 species
UAAUGAUAGGAAAUAGGAUGAAUGGAGGU